rnacentral:rRNA from 1 species
GAUGAACGCUGGCGGCGUGCCUAAUACAUGCGAGUCGAGCGAACAGACGAGGAGCUUGCUCCUCUGACGUUAGCGGCGGACGGGUGAGUAACACGUGGAUAACCUACCUAUAAGACUGGGAUAACUUCGGGAAACCGGAGCUAAUACCGGAUAAUAUAUUGAACCGCAUGGUUCAAUAGUGAAAGACGGUUUUGCUGUCACUUAUAGAUGGAUCCGCGCCGCAUUAGCUAGUUGGUAAGGUAACGGCUUACCAAGGCAACGAUGCGUAGCCGACCUGAGAGGGUGAUCGGCUACACUGGAACUGAGACACGGUCCAGACUCCUACGGGAGGCAGCAGUAGGGAAUCUUCCGCAAUGGGCGAAAGCCUGACGGAGCAACGCCGCGUGAGUGAUGAAGGUCUUCGGAUCGUAAAACUCUGUUAUUAGGGAAGAACAAAUGUGUAAGUAACUAUGCACGUCUUGACGGUACCUAAUCAGAAAGCCACGGCUAACUACGUG